rnacentral:lncRNA from 1 species
AUCCCCAGAGCUGUACACAAUCCUCAAAUGUUCUGGGACACAAUCCUCAGAAUCUCAGCAGGUGUUCUUUUAUAUGAAAGUGGAUCAAAAUUAGCUGAUAAUACGUUACUUGACGUUCGACCUUCUGCUCCAAGUUAAAAUGGAACGAAUAAGGGUUCAUCUUUGAUCCCACAAUUACCUAAUUUAUUUCUUAGUAGUGAUACACGACAAGUGAACUCAGCCACAAUAGAUGAGUAAGGGGAAACUACUUCUGUUCCUCUCUCGUAGAGAUACAUUCUGAUGGUUGCGUCUUGUCCUGAUUCAACACCCAACAAUCCUGCCAAAACCUAUAAAAGAAAAAAAUAUAUAUACAUAUUGUAAGCAUGAAAAAAUGAUUAAUUUUGAUUUUGUAUGAGAUACUGAUUUGCACUUUAUUUAUUGGAUGUGGAUGGACUCAGGUGAGAUAGAGGUAGAUCUAAGAAAUAUUUGAGGGUGGUGCUUAGACAUGACAUGGAACAGUUACAGCUUACUGAAGACAUGACUCUAGAUAGGAAUGUGUGGAGGCGCGUAAUAAGGUGGGUUUAAUGCAUAUUUACUUACCCUUUUGGUUUUAUAUCCAUUGAUAUUGGGACUGGUACCAACAUAACCAACCAAUCCAACAUAUGGUAAUACAUAGCAGGAUAACAUGAAGCUCAAGCUGUCUCUAUAUGGAUCAAAUGGAGGAUCCAAUUUUAGCCCAAAUGCUUCGUCAAACAGCUUCGCAAAAUUUUUAGCACCAAGAUCCAAUAAUGGUCUUGGAAAUAUGCCAACUGUUGAUUUAAGUGCCCUGCAAAACAACCAAGCACACACAUAAAAGGAAAACAUAUAAUUGACUUAUACUUGACCUGAAUUAUAUAAAUACUUCUCAUCAUCAAUACAUAAAACUUAGAUUUUAAUUUUUUGGUAAUUUAUUCCACGUGAUGAAUAAUCGCAUGAAGUUAUCAUUUAGCUAAAUCAUAGAUAAAGUUGUGGUGGUAAAAUUUUUAGUCAAGUUUGGGCUAAUUAUUGACACAUUCAUCUAUGAAUUCAACGCAUAUCAGCUUAUUAACCCAUUUCAGUUCAUCAAAAUAUGGGUUGAAGUUAAUAAUUUUAUUAGAUACUAAAAGAUUAUAAAAAAAUAAUUAAAACUUAGUAAGAAUCAGCCUGAAUGAAUUUUGACCCGCUUUUUAGCUUAUUUCAACCUAAUUCAUAUCAACGCAACAAACAUUUGAACAUGACAUUGUCAUUGACUUGUCCAUUUUUUAACUCACUUCAUUUUAAGUGUCCAAAUUUAACUUAACCCCCUAAUUUAUCACCUCUAGAACAAAGAUUCUUUUAUAUUAACGGCCAACAAACUCUUACUAUUAUUGAAAGAUUCAAAGGUGAAAUUAAUUACUAGAAAAAUGAACCUUAGAUGACCAACUUCUUGAUUAGCAAACUCUCUAACAAUGGCCUGGGUAAGUGGAUCAAGAUUUGCUUUUUGAGCACCAAUAGGAGGAGGCCCAGCCAUAGGCAAAUUUGGUGCAACUACAUCAAGCCCAUAUCCAAAAGACGACCACAAAAAGUACUCAGCUUCCAAAAACUCCAAGUUCACUGCAAAUUGCAUCUUGUCUAGGUCCUCUUUGUCUACUGCCACUCCCUUAUCUGGGUAGCCUGAUUGAAAAGUAGCAUUUGUUGCAUAUGAAAAUGAUACGAAGAAAGUUUCACAGAGGACUAUGUAAGUGACUAAGAAAUAGGUAGGGGUUGACAGAAAAGCCAUGUUUAAUUUUAACUUGAACAAGAAAUUGGUAUUAAGCUAAUGUAGAAUUCAAGAUGUUGUGGGAAUGAUAAUGUUCAUGUUGGUUCAAUAUAUACAUAUAAUAUUCUGAAGUUGGAAGUUAAUUCGGGAAACGCCAAAAACCAGAUCCCUUUGAUCAAUGUAUUCUUCGUACGGAACACACCCUAGUGUUAACAUAUAUAAAUGAAGAUAUAUAUAUAUAUAUAUGUGUGUGUCAUAUAUAUAUAUUGUAUCGCGUGAUUAAAAUUGGCAUAUCUAUUGUGUUUUCUUAUGUUCCCUAGCUACAUAAUAAUAAUAUCAAUGUCUUUUUUAGAUAAGCUGUAUGAAUUUAUGUGAUGGAGAAUCUUUGUUCGACUGAUAAUGAAGCUAUGCAUCCUUAAUAAAGGGGUGUCAUUUUGAGACUCCUCCGAUAAAAAAUUACACUAUAGUCCAAAUAAAAUUACAAAAUAUAUAUAUGACCAAUAUUAGGACAAUCAUAACUCCACAUUUGUCUGUUAAAUAUACAUGUAACAAUAUUAGUACGAUCACAACGCCAAUUUUGACAAAAUCAACACCUGAAGGUAUAACAAGACAUUGAAUUUUUUUCGUUAAAAAUAGGUCAUGUUGAAGUACUACUUGUUUUCAAUUUUCAAUGACAUGUUUUGAUAUCUUAAAUCCCAUAAUUGUGGCAGGAAGUACUUGAUGGCCGGCUCGGUGUUACUAGUCAUCGUUGGAGGGGCGGUGUAAAUAAUGUGCAAAGUGAUUCCUCUGUGGUAGCUUAGUCAGAUGUUGAACUGACUUUAAUAGAUAUAUAGAAUUUGUAUGUGGAUGAGCAAGCUUUACUUGUUGAUAUACCGCUGGAUUUAUGCCUCUUAAGUCAUGUUGAUUUUCUUCGUUUGUGUUCUUUGUGGCCUUUGAUAGCGUGUACAGUUAUGUGUUUAUGUUUCUUGUACUUAUUAAAAUUUGCGCUUCUGCUUGUAUCUUUUAGAAAUGAAAACGGCACUAAUCCAACGGUUUAGAAUUGCAGUGUAUAUGUGCAAACCAAGAGUAAGAGAAUAUACAUAAUUAGUGGACAAUAAAACUAAUAAAACAAUACUCAGUUAGAUUCUGAAAAAUAUUCAUGACAAAGGUAAUUUAAGACUGCUUUUACUUUAGGUAGCUUAAGAAACAAUGUAUCACCUAAUCCCCGCUGAGCGGCAGCAUGGUCUGCUGCUGUAAAUCAACACCCAACAAUCCUGCCAAAAGCUACAAAAGGAAAAUAAUAAUACUUUGUAAGCAUGAAAAAAUGAUUAAUUGACAAAAAUAUAGGCUACUCAAUUUGCAAUUCAUUUGAUUUAGGGAGUACAUGAUAAUGACAGUCAUUGACUUGUAGGUGCAUCACCUACUUUGACCUUUUGAGUAGUUUGAUCUCUUGGACAGGACAUUGUCAUUGACUUAUCCAUUUCAUAACUCAGUUCAUUCUAACCGUCCAAAUUCGACUUAACCCCCUAUCACCUCUAGAACAAAGAUUCUUUUCUAUCAUCGGCCAACAAACUCUUACUAUUAUAGAAAGAUUCAAAGGUGAAAUUAGUAUAGUAAACCUUGGAUGACCAACUUCUUGAAUAGCAAACUCUCUAACAAUAGUCUCAGUAAGUGGAUCAAGAUUUGCUCUUUGGGCACCAAUAGGAGGAGGUCCACCCAUAGCCAAAUUUGAUGCAACUGCAUCAAGCCCAUGUCCAAAAGAAGACCACAAAAAGUACUCAGCUUACAAAAACUCUAAAUUCACUGGAAAUUGCAUCUUGUCUAUGUCAUCUUUGUCUACUGCCACUCCCUUAUCUGGGUAGCCUGAUUGACAAGUAGCAUUUGUUGCAUAUGAAAAUGAUACGAAGAACGUUUCACUGAGGACCAUGUAAGUGACUAAAAUAAGAAAUAGGUAAGGGUUGACAGAAAAGCCAUAUUUAAUUUAACUUGAACAAGAAAUUGGUAUUAAGCUAAUGUAGAACAAGAAAGUUUUUUUUUUUUUCAAGAUGUUGUGGGAAUGAUAAUGUUACGUUGGUUCAAUAUAUAUAUAAUAUUCUGAAGUUGGAAGUUUAUUCGGGAAACGACAAGAACCAGAUCCCUUUGAUCAAUGUUUUCUUCUUACGGAACACACCCUAGUGUUAACAUAUAUAAAUGAAGAUAUAUAUAUAUAUAUAUAUUGUAUCGCGUGAUUAAAAUUGGCAUAUCUAUUGUGUUUUCUUAUGUUCCCUAGCUACAUAAUAAUAUCAAUGUUUUUUUUUAGAUAAGCUAUAUGAAUUUAUGUAAUGGAGAAUUUUCGUUCGACCGAUAAUGAAGCUAUGCAUCCUUAAUAAAGGGGUGUCAUUUUGAGACUUCUCCGAUAAAAUAUUACACUAUAUUCCAAAUAAAAUUACAAUAUAUAUAUGACCAAUAUUAGGACAAUCAUAAAGGGGUGUCAUUUUGUGUAUAUAUCUUCUAUAGACGUGUAUAUUUGAUGUAUACAUGUGUAUAUGUUUUAUAAAUUAGUAUAUAACUCUAUAUAUAUACUUAUAUAUAUUGUAGUAUAUAUAUGCUGUAGUAUAUGUUUUAUUUAAAGUAGUACGUAUAUAUAUGUAAUUGUGUAUAUGUGUAUAUAUUUUUAAAUUCUAAUGUAGUAUAUACUAUAUAUAUAGUAUAUAUGUAUUGUUUAACAUAUUUAAAAUGUAUAUAGGUGGGUAUAUAUAGUGUAUAUUGAAAAAAAAAAAAAUUUAUACUGGAUUUGACCGAAUUUAGGUGGAUUUGACCGGGUUAGGUUAAGUGGGCCAAAUUAGAAUUGUUUUUAAAAAUUUUUCUAUUGAGCCCUGACCCAAUCUGGCCCACAAGCCGGUUAAUUUUAACGGGUCAGUUUCGAGUUGACCCAACCCGGCCCACUUGACAACCUAUAGACAACCUCUCAAAUCUAACAAUAAUACUAUUUCAUUUUGGUACUGUACUCUUUACUGUACUAAUAUUUAUUUGAAACUUCAUACUAUUAAAUCUAACAUAAUAUUCCAUGAAGAAAUUAAGGAACACAAUUAACUAUGAAAAAUUUUAAACAACAGGUUGAGGAAAUUAAAUAGAACAAUGCUUCCUAACUCAGCUUUUAUAUAAAGCUGCUAUAACCCCAAUACUGAAUCUGCAUGAAAGCAAUUAUUUGGCGUAUGCUAAAACAAAGAUUAUGCAUGUUUAUUUUUCUUCAUGAAAUUUAUUACUAAUAUAGAUAGACAGAUAGAUAGAUAAUCUUUUAAUUAUUCUCAUGUCUUUUUCAGAAAUCCCCUGGCAAUUUUUCCAUUAGCACCUUUAGGAUAAAAUCCACCAGGCACAUGUUCAUCCCCAGAGCUGUACACAAUCCUCAGAAUCUCAGCAGGUGUUCUUUUGUAUGAAAGUGAAUCGAAAUCAGCUGAUAACACGUUACUUAUAGUCCGAUUUUCUGCUCCGAGUUGUGGUGGAACGAAUAGGCCUUCAUCUUUGAUCCCACAUUUUCCUAAUUUAUUCCUUAGUGUUGAUAUACGAGAAGUGAAUUCAGCCACUGUGUAUUUGUAAGGGGAAACUAAUCG